GCGAUGUUAGAUCCUUUCUUGAUGGGAUCUUGCCAAACAGGUGGAUUGGACGGAGAGGUUUUGUCGAAUACCCUCCACGUUCACCAGACCUCACACCACUAGACUUCUUUUUAUGGGGAUACCUAAAGGACAAAGUCUACGCACAGAAACCUGCAACAGUCGUUCAAUUGAGGGCAACCAUUGAACAUGAAUGUACGAAUAUCCCAAGGGAAUUGUUCCAUGAUGUGUGCCAUUCCAUGGCUUCGUGUUGUCAGCAGUGUCUGGAGCAGAAUGGACAUCAGUUUGAGAACAUGCGAUAACAAGACAAUAGAAUGAUAUUUGUAAAUUCUUUUACAUGUUGAAAAUUAUUUGAAUUAUAACAAACCCCAAAUUUACAAUUAUUUAAGGUGUGUAUACAUUUUUUUGGGACACCCUGUAUUUCUGCAAUCAGUUAGAAGAGGUAAAAAAAAAGGUGCAUUGUUUCUUUGAAAGUUCUUUAUAUCAUUAAAAAGAUUUCCUGCAGUUGUAAUCCUAUUUUACAACACCUUGUAAACCACACUUAUCAGUGAAUGACUGAGUGAGUGCGAGUGUGUGUGUAAGUGAGAGAGAGAGAGAGAGAGA